UACGGGGGGGGCAAGCGUUGUUCGGAAUUACUGGGCGUAAAGGGCUCGUAGGCGGCCAACUAAGUCGGAUGUGAAAUCCCCAGGCUCAACCUGGGAACUGCAUCCGAUACUGGAUGGCUUGAAUCCGGGAGAGGGAUGCAGAAUUCCAGGUGUAGCGGUGAAAUGCUUAGAUAUGACAUAGAACACCAAUUGCGAAGGCAGCUCACUACACAAAUAUUGACGCUGAGGCACGAAAGCGUGGGGAUCAAACAGG
rnacentral:rRNA from 1 species